rnacentral:rRNA from 1 species
GACGAACGCUGGCGGCGUGCUUAACACAUGCCAGUCGAACGAGUGGCGAACGGGUGAGUAACACGUGGGUGACCUUCCCUGCACUUCGGGAUAAGCCUGGGAAACUGGUUCUAAUACCGGAUAGUUUGGGAUGGGCCCGCGGCCUAUCAGCUUGUGGGUGGGGUAAUGGCUACCAAGGCGCGACGGGUACCCGGCCUGAGAGGGUGGACGGCCACAUUGGAACUGAGACACGGCCCAGACUCCUACGGGAGGCAGCAGUGGGGAAUAUUGCACAAUGGGCGAAAGCCUGAUGCAGCCAUGCCGCGUGUAUGAAGAAGGCCUUAGGGUUGUAAAGUACGUUCAGCGGGGAGGCGUUACCCGCAGAAGAAGCACCGGCUAACUCCGUGCCAGCAGCCGCGGUAAUUC